GCCGAACUACUACCGCUACCUGCUCAGGAUUCUGUCUCCCUCCGCCGCCUGACGGCUGCCGCAGUACUCCGCUACUCAAGCCGCGCCUCUUCCGCCAAUGGAAGCAGCGCCACCGCGAGCGGCAUUGACGAGGCGGUUGAAUUGGGCCCGCCCAGCGCGCGCGCUCGUAGCUGUCCAAUCGUCUUUACGAGCGUCUCAUCGGUGAGGAAAAGACUGACCAAUGGAGCGCAUCGAGUUCUAGCAGCGGACCAAUAGCAGGGAGACUCUGCCCCCCCUGUUUCACUGCAGAAUUUCCGAGUCGUGCAGCCAGCAGCCGUCGUGAGAAGAGCUGUUCAAAGAGGGAUGAGAGCAGACAUCAACCUGCAUCUGCAGUGUGGGCUGUGAUUGGAGCAGAGAGAAGCCAUGCCCCUACCAGACUGCACGGACUCAGCACAACGUGACCGGAGUAAGAAGAGUCUGGGGUUGCUGAGUUUGUAGAAAAAUGCUGUUGGCAUGAGCACAAACAUAAAUAGAACUUCAAAAGAUGAUGGAGAA